AUAUAUGUCAACCAAAGAAAUAACAUAAAUAUUAAUAUUUGACCAAGUUUAAUUCUAAUUAACAACAAAAAAUGAAAAUUUGUAGUCCCUUUAUAAAUAAUCCGAAGAAUAAUAACACAAAUUUAUAAUUUGGUUUUGCAAUUCUACGAAAAUAUAUCUUGUAAGUGUUUUUGUAACAAAAAAUAUAUUUUUUAAACGAGCAAGUCUUCUAAAGUAUGGAAUCAGGGGAGCGCAGAAGAAAACAUAGGCAUAGGGAAAGCAAUAUUGAGAUAGACCACAAAAAAAUUAAAGACAAAAAACGUCGGCAUCACCGUAGAAAAAAUGAAGAAAGAAAUCUUGAACAUUCCAACAGUGUUUCCAAAAACAAUCAACCAAAUACUGAGAGUAGCAACUCGGUGAAAAGGAACAAAGAUGAAAUAUAUCUUAAAUAUAAUAUUCAUGGGGACAAUGUCAUAGAAAUUGGAAAUGUUAAAAAGGAGACAAAAGAUCACAAACACAGAAAACACAAAGCAUCAAAAGAAAACAGCUCUGCAGAUAGACAAAUCGUAGAAAAAUAUUCCGAAUAUAAAAACAAAUCUCACAAAAAACAAUUUGCACAGUUACAAGAUACACCUUCAGCAAAAGAAUCAUUACAAAAGUGUAAGACAUUUCAUUCAGGUGAAAACUACCAGCAUAGACCACGUUCAUCAAUCCAUACAAAGCUAAAAGAUAAGGAAGAAAGAAAACCUAGAGCCAAAAGUGAAAAACAUAGAACAGAAAAUAAAGUGUCUGAAAUUUGGUACUGUCAUAUAGAUAAUACUGAACCAUUUAAAGAUUGUGUUAAGAAUCAAGAAUGUUCUAAAACUGUAUGUGGAAAAGUCAGACAAAAAGACCACCCAUAUGUUAAAGAAAGAGCGAAAUCUUCUCCAGAAGACACAUGCAAUUGUGUUCAUCAACAUAAGCAUUUAUCUAAUGCAACAAAGUCUAAAAAUGCCCCUCUUAAAGAGCACUCCAAAUCUGUAUUAAAUGUCACUAAAGGAAAAAGUAAUGUGGAAGAAAUUAUAGGAAAGGAAUGCUCAAGAACUAUAGAACACAACCUUAAAAGCUAUUUUGUUAAAAUUGAAAAACUAAUAGAUCAAAAACUUAACAGUUACCUCCAACAAAAGAACACAACAAGAGGAUCUCUUGAAGGCAAGCAAGGACAGGCGGAAAAAGAAAGAAAUAAGCACAAACGUAAUCAUAAAAAUCGGGAAUCGAAUAUGAAGAAAAGAAAUGUGUCUAUAUCUUCUGAAUCUUCUCGAAACGAGAAUGAAAGUAGAAAACUAUCUGUAUCUCCUGCUAGAUUACACCAACGUUCCAGAUCAAUGUUUGCCGAUAAUGUAGAAAUGUCUCCAAGUAAUGUCGAACAGUGGACAAAAAAGCAAAAGACAAAAUUUAAAGAACAAAUAAAAUCCAAGGAUCGUAGUAAAUCUGGUAAGCGAGAAAAUCCUCGUGGUGAGAAAAAAUUUGAAAAUGCCGAAGAAGAUUACAAGAAUAUUAAUUUUGAAAAGGCUUUUAUACGACGUAGUAUUCGAUCAGAAGAAAAAGAAAAUAAAGUUCGCAAGAACAAAAGAAUACCAGAAUCAGCUGUAUCAAUACCAAAUGGUGAAGGACUGGUUGCUGCUUCGAAAUAUAGAGAAGAUGUUCAGGAAUAUUCUCGAUAUUAUCCUGAUAAACAGUCUGAAAUAAGGGAAAGAAGGUUAAAAUCUAGACACAGGACUAAAAGAGAAGACUUUCUACAUGUACCAACACAACCGGAUCCUGCACUUUCAAAGAAUUAUACAAGGGCCAGAGAAAAUGCUGUGUCAAAACAAAACAGACGAAAAUUAUCGCCAACAAAUAACAACAAUGCUUCUAUAAAUAUUCCUAAAGAAAAGUAUCGUAUGAAACCAACUGAUUCCACAAAUUUGGUUGAUUCUCCAAGAAAUAAAGACUAUAUUGAAAACCCAUCUACUUCCAUUGUAUAUUUUAAACCAUCAGUCUCCAGUGAAAAUAUUAAUAGUUUGUCUCUCUAUAGUCAGGACGCUAGCAGAAUGAACUAUUUUUCAAAGCAACGUAAAGAAGAUAAUAUGCCCUGUCAAAGAUAUUCUCAACGGCCAGAAAGUUAUUCUCGAAGAAAAUCUAACUUCACUGUAGAGGGUAUUGAACCAGCAAAAAGAUUAAAUACAACAAAAACUGCAACAAAAAAUACCUCGUUAAAGAAAAAUCUUGAAUGUAAAACGGUAUCUGUUAUAACAAUUCCACCGCAAAAUCAAAGUACUAAAUAUAUUCCCUUAGAAGAAGAACGAGAAAAUUUGAUGGAAAACCCGAAUAAGAUGAAACGUCUAAAGCUUUAUUAUCAAUGUUCUUUGGACAGUAAUAAAUGUUCAGGUAGCAAUUUUUCCGAAGAUCGCAGCGUUUUCAAUGAAAGUCUUAAAAUAUUAUCUGAUUUCUCAACUCCAAAUAGGGAUUUCAAUGAAACUCAGCAAGUUAACAAUUUACCAAUUAAACACAAAGAUAGUGUAGUGAAAGACUCAUCUAGUAUAUUACCACCAACACGUGAAAGACGCAAUAAAUUUGACGACGAAUAUCAUAGUGAAGUUAGCAAUAGUUUUGACAAUCACCAUAGCAGCUUCCCUCAAAGCAACUCCAAAAGACCUCACCGUAUACCAUCAAUAUCCCCUAAUCAAUUGUCUAGUCCUGAUCGGGAUAUCAAAAACCAGCAGGAAAAAAGAAAAAUUAAACAUUUACCAAAUGAUGGUAAUUUGAAAUCAAAAUCCGACAUAAGUCUGGUUUGUAAAAUUUCUGAAGACAAUAGUGCCCUACAAAAAAAACUUAUGUUGCUGGAAGGGCUCAAAGAUAAUAAAGACUUAAAACUACAAAAAGACACAGCCCUUUUUAACCUCAAGGUUUUAAAGAAUGCUUUAAAAACACAAAACAUGCUCUCUAAAGAGCAAUUUCCUAACAACAAUAAUCAAAUAUUACAACAUCUGGAAAAUAUGUACCAUAUAUAUUUGGCAACACUUUCUCAUGGUAAUAAUGAGGUGGAUAACAAGAAUCGUAACAUAACUGAUGAUCAAGUUGUUACUACUCAACAAGAUGUAACCAACUUACAUAAAAAAGUUGAAAAACUGGUUGACAAAGCUGAAAAAAUUGAUGAACGCCCGAGUAAAGAUAUCGCUGAUAAACAACUACAUCCAAAGUCUAAUCAUUUCUCCCAUCACGAUGAUAAAAAGGGUAUAGAAGAUUUGGAAAACUGUAAAUACAAAACUGUAGAUACAUCGUAUCAUAAUUUAAUUGAAGAUAAUCAACCAGAAAAUUUUACCAAAAUUACAUGUCCGACUGAAUUAAAAGACGCUAGCACUUCAAAGAAAUUAAUUACUACCAGUGACAAGGUCACGUCCUAUCAUGAACUACCUAGCUUCGCAAGAAAAGAUGAUUCCAAUGAUAAUAACACAGAUGCUUAUUACAUUUCCCAUAAUUCUAUAACAACUUCCACUGAAAAUCCAAAAGAAAUAGGAGACAAGACCUUCAAAUCUAGCGAUAAGUCAGCUAAGAUGGUAAAAACUGUUAUGACGACCAAAGGAUUGAAAGGUAAAGAAAACAAAGCAAACUGUGCAUCAAACGUUACUCCAGAAGACUUGAUUCCUAAAAUUGAUAUUUCUGUUGAAAAAGUGAAUAACCAGGUUGAAGAAGAUCAUGACACAAAUUUCAAUAGAAAAAUAACUGAAAUGAAAGACAUGUCACAUGUUGAUACUGUUUGUACAAUUGAAAUUCAAACCCAGGACGAAUUUAUGAUGUUAGAGGUUCCCCAUUUAGAAAAAAAGGAAAUUGGAGUCCAAUCUUUGGUAAACUAUAGAAAACCUCUGACUAGCAGGCCAAGUUAUAUUGAGGAAACACCCAAAACUCCUAAAAAGACUUCUAGGAUACCUCAAUGUAUUAAUAAAUUACCCAAGGAGGCUCAUGAAUUAACUACAGGUGAUAGCAAACGUCUAGACUUGCAAGAUAUUACAAAGGACGAACAAUCAUAUAAAUUAAAGGAUAAACCUGGAGAUAUGGUUAUUACAAAUUUCAGCCAGCUCAACAAAGAAAUAAAUAUAAAGAAUGAACCAAAAGAAGAAGUUAGAGAUCCAGCAAUGUACUCUCCAAGAAAACAAAAACAAAACAAUUCCAGUUUAGUUCCUUCUACGAGAAUACCACGAAAAAUGAAACAGCACAGUACUCCUGCCAAAGAUAUAAAGACUAGAGACAACUACGGAGGUGAUUAUCUUCUUAAGAAAUCUCAAUCAGAAAUUAGCCUGAGAAAGUUGAAUUCAAGUAGAGAAAAGGGAAGGACAUCAAGUCUAAUAUGUCUACAUAGAUAUCUUAACAAUCCAAAUUUAGCAGAUAGCUCAAAUUCUGGCGUGGACAGCUUCUAUUUAGGCAGAUCUGUAGUAAAUGAGCCAAAUGUAACAAGUAGACUUCUAUUAACUAAGGACUAUAAGCCACCUCAAAUGAGUUCUUACCAAAGAAGAAAAAUAUACGAUAAGAGUAUACGAAGCAAACUGAAGAAGAAGAUGUGCAAUGAAAGGAAAGUGAGACAAAUCUUUGAAGUAAGAUACUUGACGUUGGGUAAGAAUUUAGAGGGGAGCAAUGCUAAGGUUUUGAAUAAAAUACCUGAAAAUUUAGUAGAAGAAAGUAUAGAGCGACCCAUUGAUGAAUUUAUGGACGAAACUCUUCGAUUGUUAGGUAAAAAGAACUCUGAGAAACUUUUAACCUUUAUCCAGGAAAACAUAGAUACAGUAAAGCGUCUCAAUGUGGUUGAAUUAUUACGAAGAUUGGCAGAUUCAGCGGAAUGUUCAAAAUUGGAAACAAAAGUAAAAGAAGACACUUCCAAAGAAGUUGUCAACUUUUUUAUAGCUUUAAAUCAUUGCUUAAGAACAUUCUGCAACUCUGAAAAUCCAGCAACGCACAUUAGAGAAGCUGUAUCAUCCAACGAUAGUACUAUAGUACAAAGUUCAGAAACGUACACCUUAAGUAAACAAUCUGGUAUAACUCGUAAUUGCAGCUGCCGCACAAUUCAACCUUCAAAUUCUUCAUUUGAUUUCUUGUACCAAGAUGACGAUAAUCAAAAUCUAGUAGAAAAAAAAAUUAAUUUUAACCCCAUUCUAGGAUUUACCUUCAAACACAACUCAAAAAUAAAGCAGACUGAAACUGGUAGUUUUGCGGAGUCAUAUAAUUCUGAAGAUAGUGGUUAUGUCAGGUCGGAAAAGUCAAAACAUGACCCUUUAACUUUCUUCAAAAGGCCAAUUAUGGCAGAACUGCUACGACCUCGUGCAGAAUUGUUUGGAAACACUCCUUCGUGUUAUGAAAUGAAGAAUGAAUCGAUGGAUACUAUUAAAGAGGAUAUUGCUCCAAGUAUCACUAGUUAUUAUCCUUAUGCAGAACUUAAUGAUUCCUUUCACGUUAAUAAUAACCAUUCAAAUAAUGCCAAAGAUGGAGAAGAUAUGAACGAUACGACUGACAAAGACGAUAGUCUAAUAUUUGAGACAGUCGAAAUGUCUACAAACAUUCGUUUAAAGAGAUAUGCAUACCCUUAUUAUCAUAAAAAUGAAGAUAUUGACAAACUACUAGAAUUAGAGGAGUUGAAUACACAAAAAAUGAACUCUGGUGAAUUAAAAUUGAAAGAAAGCAUUAGCAAUGUAGAUUUUAGUCUAAAAAAAGAAGAGUUUACUAGUCCCAAACGAGCUCAAAGUGAAAUCGUAUUACCUAAAUACUCUCAGAUUGGUUAUACAUGUAAUUUUGAUGAAAAUUGUGAGAAUGUUUUUCAACCAAUGCCAUUGUUUAGAGAGAUUAUGGAGAAUAAUUGUCUAGAAGACAUUGUGGUGUUAAAAAAGAUUCUGGAUCCUGGAGUGUAUUUGAUGUCUACAAACUUCAAUAUGGGCUAUAUCACACUACAUAUUAACACGGAAGAACACAAUACCACAAAUAGUCCACUUUUUGACGAAAAUCUAUUAAAUCAAAACAACUUAUACAUAAAAUACGAUGUGUCAACUUGCAGUUGUAUUUCUGAUGUGAAAAAACUAACGACAAUGAAGUUUUUUGAAAAUUUAUUGAACGUUUAUGAAAUAGAAGAGGAUUUUAGCUUUAAACUCUUUAGCGACAAAAGCUUUAUGAAAAAUGAGCUGUUUUCAGUUAUAUCACAGAUUAAACCAGGGAAAGGUAAAGGAAAGUUCACUAGAAGAAUGAGAUUCUUUUUCAAAAAUAUUUUUUGUGGUAAAGAAAAAGUAAGGAGUAAAAAAUCUUUGGAUAAUGGCGACAAAGUAAAAUGUUUUAGAUCUACCCACUGGAUGAAUCAUUCCAAAAGAGUUUUCAAAUACUAGCAGACUAUGCAGUUAAAAAUUUCUCCCAAUUAAUUGGAGCGCUAUUGCCUAGCUUUGAGAAAAACGACGAGUACAAGAUUUAUGGUUUUUUAACAUUGCUGCAUAAGAUCAAAAGUGGCCAUUUUAAUUUUAUAAAGGUAUCCAAGAUUAGCGACAUAAAAGAAGAAAUGAAAAAUCAAAUCAAACAAGCUUUCCAGAAUGUAUAUUUAAUAGCAAGUGAUGAGGCCUAUCAUUUACAGAGAAAAUUUAGCGAGAAUGAUAUGAAACUUGCUGGAGCGUUAGUCUGUAAAUAUAGAAGUGC
rnacentral:misc_RNA from 1 species